CACAGUCAGUAGAGCCAUCUAGUGGAGAAUUAAAGAAGUACAACCUUAUGAAGACAAAUAACUUCUACACCGGUUCAACAAUUAAAUUCUUAAUUAAGGUGCUUAAUUACUGAUUCGCUGACUCGUUCCUUAUUUGUGAAUACGGAAAACCUACGAUCGACUUUUAUAUGUGAUAUAAAGGAAAUAAAUUGGUAAAAUGCGAGUAAAACUGCGUAAUUAAUAAAUAAAAUGCGAUGAAACCGAUUGAAGAAUACCACAGUCAUUAAUAUUGUCCUGUUUGUUUCUGAGGCCAGCUUAAACCAAUAUCCCACCUUGUUGGCAGAAAAGGAAGUUCUUACAUCCGAUGUGUUCUCGAUGUUGUUAUCAACAUUCAUUGACCAAAGGAAGACGAUAUAUUUAUAAGGAGCAUUUGUGAAUACGUCGACCUCUUUAUAUAUAUUUAAAAGAAAUAUUCAUGAAUCAAAAUCUAUGAUAUGAUGGAAAAAUAUUUCUUCUAGACCAGUGCUUUUCAAACUUGUUGCUGGAGCGGAACCCCAAGGAAACAUUCCACUGGCUCGAGGAACCCCUGCGCAAUAAUUUAAUAGUUUUAUGCACAAAUAUCUGCACAGGAGAAUUAAAAAUUACUGUCGAUUUUAGCAGUUUUGUAACUUCUUGCGGAAUCCCUGGACUGUACUGGCGGAACCCUGGUUGAAAACCACUGUUCUAGACAAUGGAAUUAAGAGCAGCAUUUUCUUGUCUUCGCUGUCUGGAAUGUGGAGAAGGUGAUUGCUUUACAAAAAGGAAAAAGAAAUUAUUCUUUUCAUAAUCAAAAUACAGGACCUGAAAAAAGGAAAAAAAAAUACAGGACCAGAUACUGCAACAGCUUGGGUUUCAGGGGACCACAGCUCUUCAAUAUCCUUCCUAAAUGCUUGAGACCUGCAUGGUGUGGAUGUGGGUUUCUUUAAAACUAAACUUGAUCUCUUCUUGUUAGGGGUUCCAGAUGAACCUACCUCUCAGCAGGAAACACACAUGCAGGUAGCAGUGCCGAACUCCCUUGUUGACCAAGUGCCACGUAUCAGAGGUGGUUUCACAUAUUAGUGUAGCUCAUUCAAUGGUGGUGCUGCAGCUUGCGGACUGAAACAUUUUUAAGGUUAAUUAAACUUGGAUUACUGCGAAGGAGUUGGCAGUUUACAUCUACUGUUUUAGAUAAGCAAAGUUACGGACUGAAGAAACAUAACAUUGAAUUAUUCCCUGAAAAUAGUGACUCGCCUGAAUACAAACAUCAUUGUGACAUGUAUGACGAAUUAUUCGGAUCUUUUCGGUCUCACCGGCAAUUUUUUUUAAUAAUUUCCACAUAACUAAACACUUUUCAACUUCGUAUACUGGUAGAAUGUGGUUAUAAAACAUC